UUGGGGUUGCGGACAUAUCAUAACGAAGAGGUAUCGUAAUUGAAGAGGUUUGGAAAGACCCACCACAGAAGGUAAUAGUCCUGUAUGUUAAACGAGAAGACUUUAGAUAUGAUCCAGAGUACCACGGGACACGUGAAACCCUGUGGGAAGCAGGAGGGACCACCCUCCAAGGCUAAAUACUACCUAGUGACCGAUAGCGUAUAGUACCGUGAGGGAAAGGUGAAAAGAACCCCGGGAGGGGAGUGAAAUAGAACCUGAAACCCUGCACUUACAAGCUGUGGAAGCACAUUUCUUGUGUGACCGCGUACUUUUUGUAGAACGGGCCAACGAGUUACGUUAAGUAGCAAGGUUAAGCACUUAAGGUGCGGAGCCGUAGCGAAAGCGAGUUUUAACUGAGCGUUCAGUUACUUGACGUAGACCCGAAACCGGGCGACCUACCCAUGAGCAGGAUGAAGCGAAAGUAAAAUUUCGUGGAGGUCCGAACCCACGAGCGUUGAAAAGCUCGGGGAUGACUUGUGGGUAGCGGUGAAAUUCCAAUCGAGCCCGGAGAUAGCUGGUUCUCCCCGAAAUAGCUUUAGGGCUAGCCUCAAGGUGAGAGAUACGGAGGUAGAGCACUGAAUGUCCUAGGGGGUAUUGCACCUACCGAAGACUAUCAAACUCCGAAUGCCGUCAUCUUAUACUUGGGAGUCAGACUGUGGGUGAUAAGAUUCAUAGUCGAAAGGGCAACAGCCCAGAUCGUCAGCUAAGGUCCCUAAAUGUAAGUUAAGUGGUAAAGGAUGUGGGAUUGCACAGACAACCAGGAUGUUGGCUUAGAAGCAGCCACUCAUUCAAAGAGUGCGUAAUAGCUCACUGGUCGAGUGAUCCUGCGCCGAAGAUUUCCGGGGCUAAAACUUACUACCGAAGCUACGGCAUCAGUAAUGAUGGGUAGGGGAGCUUCCCAUACGGGUUGAAGCAUGACCGUAAGGACAUGUGGACAGUAUGGGAGUGAGAAUGUUGGCAUGAGUAGCGAGAUGUGGGUGAGAAUCCCACAGGCCGUAAACCCAAGGUUUCCAGGGGAAGGUUCGUCCGCCCUGGGUUAGUCGGGACCUAAGCUGAGGCCGAAAGGCGUAGGUGAUGGACAACAGGUUGAUAUUCCUGUACUACCGAUAACCGUUUGAGAGAAGGGAUGACACAGUAGGAUAAGCUAAGCACACUGUUGGUUAUGUGUGCCCAAGCAUUGAGGCAGUCAAAGUAGGCAAAUCCGCUUUGAUAAUGCUGGGAUGUGAUGGGGAGCGAAAUUUAGUAGCGAAGUAGCUGAUUUCACACUGUCAAGAAAAGUCUCUAUCGAGGUUAAAGGUACCCGUACCGCAAACCGACACAGGUGGGUGAGGAGAGUAUCCUAAGGCCAGCGAGAGAACUGUUGUUAAGGAACUCGGCAAAAUGACCCCGUAACUUAGGGAUAAGGGGUGCCACCAUCAGGUGGCCGCAGAGAAUAGGCCCAAGCGACUGUUUACCAAAAACAUAGGUUUCUGCUAAGUCGCAAGACGAUGUAUAGGAGCUGACGCCUGCCCGGUGCUGGAAGGUUAAGGGGAUCUGUUAGAGCAAUCGAAGCAGUGAACUUAAGCCCCAGUAAACGGCGGCCGUAACUAUAACGGUCCUAAGGUAGCGAAAUUCCUUGUCGGGUAAGUUCCGACCCGCACGAAAGGCGUAACGAUUUGGGCACUGUCUCAACAACAGACUCGGUGAAAUUGUAAUUCCGGUGAAGAUGCCGGAUACCUGCGACAGGACGGAAAGACCCCAUGGAGCUUUACUGUAGCUUGACAUUGGGUCUUGGUACUACAUGUACAGGAUAGGUGGGAGGCUUUGAAACCAGGACGCCAGUUUUGGCGGAGCCAUCCUUGGGAUACCACCCUUGUAGUACUGGGACUCUAACCAUAGGCCAUGAAUCUGGUCUUGGGACACUGUCAGGUGGGCAGUUUGACUGGGGCGGUCGCCUCCCAAAAGGUAACGGAGGCGCUCAAAGGUUCUCUCAGUACGGUCGGAAAUCGUACGUAGAGUGUAAAGGCAAAAGAGAGCUUGAUUGCAAGACAUACAGGUCGAGCAAGGAUGAAAAUCGGACUUAGUGAUCCGGUGGUUCUGCGUGGAAGGGCCAUCGCUCAACGGAUAAAAGCUACCCUGGGGAUAACAGGCUUAUCUCCCCCAAGAGUCCACAUCGACGGGGAGGUUUGGCACCUCGAUGUCGGCUCAUCACAUCCUGGGGCUGUAGUAGGUCCCAAGGGUUGGGCUGUUCGCCCAUUAAAGUGGUACGCGAGCUGGGUUCAGAACGUCGUG
rnacentral:rRNA from 1 species